rnacentral:rRNA from 1 species
ACGAACGCUGGCGGCGUGCUUCACACAUGCCAGUCGCACGGAAAGGCCCUGCUUUUGUGGGGUGCUCGAGUGGCGAACGGGUGAGUAACACGUGAGUAACCUGCCCUUGACUUUGGGAUAACUUCAGGAAACUGGGGCUAAUACCGGAUAGGAGCUCCUGCUGCAUGGUGGGGGUUGGAAAGUUUCGGCGGUUGGGGAUGGACUCGCGGCUUAUCAGCUUGUUGGUGGGGUAGUGGCUUACCAAGGCUUUGACGGGUAGCCGGCCUGAGAGGGUGACCGGCCACAUUGGGACUGAGAUACGGCCCAGACUCCUACGGGAGGCAGCAGUGGGGAAUAUUGCACAAUGGGCGGAAGCCUGAUGCAGCAACGCCGCGUGCGGGAUGACGGCCUUCGGGUUGUAAACCGCUUUCGCCUGUGACGAAGCGUGAGUGACGGUAAUGGGUAAAGAAGCACCGGCUAACUACGUG